rnacentral:lncRNA from 1 species
GUCCAACUCUGGUUUUGCCUGGCCGAGGCUUUUGAGUUCAAAUUGGACGCUGUGUGUGGGGCUGGCCCUUAGUUGAAGAGGUUACUGUAAGUGGCCCAUUACAUCUUACUGAGAACUCACUUUGAGACUCCAGAACCUGGUCACUCUGAUGUGUUCAGCUUGGGAACGGUGUGUAUGUGCGGUGCCCACUUCUCUGGAGUGAGCCCCACAGGUCACAUAAGCUAUUCGGCUUCUUGACACUUCUCUUCUUGCAGCUCGAGUUCAGGUGUCGUCAGCUGCACUGAGAGCCACGCAGUAUGACUCUGCAGAUGACCCCAGCAUAGGCCAACAGAAGGUCGAAGAGAAGGUCCACUGCAGAUCCCAGCUCUGCCUCUGACAGUCACAUCCCCCUGCCAGCUUCAUCAUCUCGGAAUGAGCUCUCUGUGGCCAGGAUAUUACAAAGCACAGUAAGUAUUUGCCCUAUUCCUCAGCCACUGAGGAUGUGACAGAAAUCACAAAGUUGCGUUUUCUUUUAUUAAUAUAUCCCUGCAGAGAAGAUAAAUGGCAAGUUUCAUUUCAUUCUUAAGGUCAUGUUUGGGAUAACUAGACAUCCAAUCAAUCAGGUGAUUGAUAACACUGAUUCUCUUCCACAGAAACAGGGCGGGGACCAGAAAGUACCUUCCCUCUCCUCCAAAGAUGACAAGAACUGAUUCUUGGGAGAAGGGGGCAUUAAUGAUAUAAAUGUCUGUGUCACUGCUGACAGUCAUUUACAUCUUUUAAUAAUAGUGGAGGGUGGACUCAUGGAAUUCCUAGAAUUUAAAGUUGAUGGAGGCUUUAGGGAAAGAUCAUCUCACCCAGCCCCUCACUGCACAGGGCUCCUUAGUCCAGGGUGUCCUGGCAGUGGUGCUGGCAUCCUGCUGCUUGGAACAUAGAGCUUGAGUCCUCCUGGAGUCCAGGGCCUGAAGCCAGGUCAGAGGGCCUGGGAUGUCUUUUUUCCUGAGUCUCUAGAAGCUUUCUAACCCUCUUCCACUGGGGUUCCUGAGCCGCCCUAAUUCCUUCUAAACUUCACUGCGACCACUUUAAAAUAUGCUCUCCCGUGCCUGGGGGUUGGAGUGGAGCCUGAAAACCAGGGAGGGGUCUGUGAUCAGGGAAGGAGCAGGGAUGUUAGCCUUCUCUUCACCGUGGGCCGUGGUGGGCAGGCUCUUCAGACGUAUGGUUUUCAGCACCUGAGUGCAAAUUGUUUCUCUGUUCACACAGUUUUUAAUUUUGGCUUAGUGAUUAAACUGACUUACCACCUCUCAUACUCCAUAGACCUGCUCCAGUAAAGCAAAGCAAAACAAAAUUCAUAAAACCUGAUUAUAAAAUGUUUAAGAGUUGGUCAUAGUUAUCUUUAGUAAGAAAUGAGAUGGUAUACUGGGUUGCUGUUUUUUCUUAAAAAAUGGGCCAGAAAACUCAUGCUGUUACCUUGUGACCUGACUGUAGUGAUCAUGGAGAUAAAGUAGAAAGGUUUGACCAUGCUGACCUUGAUGUGACAGUAUUUGGGCUUCUCCAUUAGAGACAGACAUGGAAAGGGAAAGAAGCAAUUGCUUCAGGUUGGCUCUUGGGUGGAUGGAAAAGCCCCUGUGCUCCUGUGCCUUCAUUUUGUAGUGAGGAGCCCGAGCUGUGGACUUCAGCUCAACUUCAAGGUUCUUCUGGGCCCAGCCAGAGCUGCCAGUUGCAAAAGAAGGAAGAGGAAACAGACUCUUGAGAGGCUUGGACAGUGAGGAGAGAGCUCCCUCACGCCAGAUGCUGAGACACAGCAGUGCCGUGGACAGGAAGCUCCAGGGCUGGCCACUCGGUAUCUUUGUCCACUCUGCCAGGUGCUCGUGACAGUUCUGCCUGUCUCCCAUUUGUCUCUUCAGAAGAGCAAGGUAUCCUAUGCCAGAAACCCACCUCACUGCCCUCUCCCCAAGGGCCCCUCUCUGGCCACAGCUGCACCAUAUAUUUGUGGGUACAGCAUGGGGGAGGGUGUAGAAGAUGCCCAUCUCCUCAAGCAUCAGGAUUCUGCAAGGAAGGGGGUGCUCAGGAGCCAUUAGCCUGUUGCUGUGCUGGUGCAGGGCACUGAACUCAGGCACUGUUAGGGGCUGGCCUUGGUGGUUGGCUUGCACCCAACUUGGCUCCUGGUAACUGCUACACUCAACAGGACCCCGAGGACUUUGGAUAAUAAUAAUUCCAGCCACACACAUUGUGAGUAUAUGUGAAUUUAUUAACUUAGAGGAAAAAGCCUUAGGUUGUCAUACCAGAUGACCUGUUUUUAUCUCGUAUUCUGUUAAAAUAAACAGUGUACUUCAGUGAAAACCUUGGCAUUGAAGGUUCUGGUGGCAUGCCUCAGAAUGAACGAAGCAUCUAUCCCUGUAUUAAUCGACUUUCCUGGAUCAUAUGUUGAGCUGAUUUGUCAGAAUCCAUUAAGCUGGUAGACAGUAUGACAUUUCAAGUGCAAGCUAGAAAUCCACGUCAUGGUUGAAGGAGAAGGUCAGAUCCAUCUCAGUUAAUGUUAAUCAAUGAUCAGAGACCAAUAUGUCACUGGUGAAUGUUCUUGCUCAUUUUAAUUGUUAACCUAAUGUAAAGGUUCAUUAGCAAACACGCACAGUGUUUGUCCACGUGGAAACUAAAAGCAGUUUACGGGGCGCAUUCUCUGUCAUCGCCACACCUCUUCACUCAGUUCACUGCCCCCUGCCCUCUGAGAGGUCCACUGGUGCUGCAGUAUCUAUUCCCCAGAAAACUGAGGUGCUUGCCACUCUGUGGCUUGCAAACCUCAUCCUUCCUCUGGGGCAGUCUACCCUUAACAUGUGAAUGUUAUUGGAGGGUGCUGGAAGCCACACGGGGGAGGUUUUCAGGGCUCAGAGACUAGUACAAGCAGGCUCACAUGGUUGGCACUCACCAACUUUAACAGUAGCUUUUGUUUUGUGUAAGGACCACAAGCAGUCUUGGAAUUAAAAUAUGUGCAAUCAGUUUUCUCUAGCUCUUAAAAUGACUGGCCUGUACGACAUGAUAUCUAACUGUACAAAAGCAGUUUGUAAGCUCUGGAGAGACAUCAUUGACUUCAGAGAAUGUUCUUGGCUUAGGUUGGCUUCUUUCAUUUCUUUGAAGGGGAAGUGGUCUGGUGCAAAUUGAUAAAUACUCCCAAACAACUCUGUAGGAUCUUGGCAACCCCAGAAAUGGAACCAGUGACCCUUUGGAGACUGAGCAGAGGCAUGAACCCAUCCCCUUGAGGAGAACAAAUCUAAAUUAUAGGCUUGUUCCUAAAAAAAAAAAAGAAAGAAAGAAAAGAAAAAGAAAGAACGAGCAACUCAAAACUUUAUUUUCUGAAAGUUAAGUUUAAGAACAGACAUUGAAACCAAAUAAUUUUCUUCUGUCAAUAUUAAGUAUGUAUCUUGGUUCAUAACCUGUGUUGCUAACAUUUUCUCUCUAACUUAAAAAGAGAAAUUUUAAAGUAGUGUUUAAAAUAUUCUGAACAAUCUAUAAUAUUAUUUUAAUAAAGUUAAUGUAAGAAAUAUUUUGACAUCUUACUAUUUGGUAUCUGUUUAAUACAAAUAUUUUUUUUUUUUUUUUUUUGGUCAAAAGUCGACAGCUUCCUUGGUUGAACUAUGUGUGUUCAGUUUCUCUCUCUCAUGGAUUAGCUUCUGGUGCCAAAUAAGUUCUCACACGUGUUCUAGAUUAUGGUGGAGCUUUGCCCUCACAGCAAUGAAUGUAUGCAGGGGGCAUCUUAGGGGCACCACCCAUCUGUUGGAAGACAGUAAUGACCUAGGUGUUGGUCGUGGGCCCUCGAUUGCUGGGUGAUUGUGGGAGAGAGUAGACAGCCCCCAACCUCAAGGUGGUUAACCAUGCCAAGCAGACAGCUACCUAGACUGUUCUUUGUGAUUCCAGAUAAGUUGUGGGCACCACUUGAACUUCCUCCAAAGCCAAACCCAUUCCCUGGAGAAAACAGGGCGCUACCCCAAAGCCCUUUGACUUUGGGAAGGCCUCUUGUUCCUCCCCAAAUUUCUGCUUUGUUGUUUUCACCUUUAAAUUCCAAAUUGCUUGUUUUCCUUAGUUUGCUGUUCCCUUUGACCCUCUUUCCUAAAGUGUAAUGUUUUCCUUUUUUCUCUCAUUUCCCAGGCUAUAAUCCCUCAGCUUCUGCUAAAUCAGUUUGUGUCGAUGACUGACCAAGUGCAGGCCCAGACGUAGCCAAACACUGUGCAGACAGCUUCCCAGGGGUGGCAGUGACCUGGGUAGGCAGAAUUGGCACUGCCUGAAGGACACGUACAAAACACUGUCUUCAUGCAGGUAAAGGAAGCCUUUUCAGAGGCAGGUGCAGAAAGAGGAGGGUUAUUUAAUUAGGAAGCAAAGGGAAACUGCGGCCAGGCUCGCUGACCUGGAUUUCCUAUGGAUGCCAAUCGGCGUGUUUACUGGUCUCUGAUGAAAUAGAGCUUUAAGUGGCUGACACCUGGCAGCAUUCAUUUUGCUCCAGAAAUGCCAUGUAAGAUGUUGGGAACAUUAAAUUACAUUUGCUUGUUGUGAUCUGUGUGUCUGCUCUGUACCCCUAGUGGAAGGUCCACCAGAAUCUUGCCUUCUCCGUUCAUGAGCUGGCUGUGAUUCUUGGGGAUCAGUUGAUGGCAGCUGACCUGGUACCUGUCUUCAGUGGAUUUUAAAGGAUCUUGUGCACAGGAGUUCUUAAGCAUCUUUAUGAUUUUCUAAAGGCAGGAAGGAGGGUUAAAAACAAGCACCCUCUCUCCAGUCAGUCGUAUUAAGCCCUGGAUAUGUCUGGAAUCAGUGAAAGACAAAAAGAAAAAAAUUCACAGUGCAGUUGUCUGGGUUUCUUCUGUUGAAAUGCACCAUCCCAAAUCUUAAAGUGGAUGUUGUUUUAUCAAUGGGCAAUGCCUUAUCGUGUUUCCUCCCCAGCUCCUGUCCUUCAGGGCUGCAGUUCUGUGUAGGGUGUUAUGGACGCACAGCUGAGCACACUGGGUGCAGAAGAAGAAACCAGGCCCCUCGUGUGGCCUGACUUGCCCAGAGUCAGCUGGGGAGAGCCUGGGCCGAGGCCUGACCUCAGGUCGGCAUGAAGGGCUUUCUCUGCAGGAUAUUGCUGCUUCCCGUCUUGCUUUUGUCUUGUCUUCUUUUUCCUUUUUCUUUUUUGCUGUAAAGGAACGAUGAGUGUAAAAACAAGCGUUUAGAAAUGGCCUAGAGAAACUAAUUAGUUGCAUCCACUGACCCGGAGCUGCCCUUGAGGGGGUGCGCUCUCAGACUCCCCUUUGCUGGUGCUGAGCUGACUGCAGGAAGGCAGCAGCGGCACUGUCCGCUGCACACACCGAGGUGAUUGUUUAGGUGGGACAUGGCAGAAGGAAGAGACCCUGGGGCUUUUGGGAAUACACAGCAUAGGCGCCCACCAGGGGAAAGACUGGGAGUGUCCUGGGCGAACUGAUGUCAGUUGGCUGGGAUGCCAGCUCACACACACACCGGGCCAUAGAUGACAACUGAAAGGAGUUAGGGCAUGAGGGAAAGGCAGGGUUCUUCCAGUGCCAAACCUUAAUCUGAAACAAAAUAAGAGGGGGCACUUGGGGUUAUUUUGUGGGUUUAUAUGUUUUUAAUUACAUAUACAUUUUAAAAAAUAGUUUCUCCAUGAAGACAAGAGGAAAGAAUAUCUGUAUCAGUUUCAAGAAUUUGUAGUGACCAAUAUCAGCAGGAAUUGGAGGUUUUGACAUUAACUAGCAGAGUAAGUAGAAACCUGUUCAGGGCAAUGAGAAGGCAAAUCAGAAGAAGUAAGUCUUAAUUUUCCUACCUUAUAAUUGAUUUCUAAACCAGCAGUAAUAAUGUUCUUUUGGAUAAAGAGAUUAUGUUUUUAUUAAGGUAUAACCGAAUUCCAAAGCUCUAAGUAACAAAUACCACAGUCUCUGGGGAGACAUUCAUUUUCACACAGAGCCGGGGCUGCAGGCACCCUGGAAUUAGAGUGUUCUGCUGUUCUAUAAGGUAAUUUGUUUGAACCAAAUAAAAGAUGAAUUGCCCACUCUUCAAUAUUUCCCUAUUAAUCGGAGCAGGUUUUGCAAAGCUUUCUUGAGCAUUUUGAGUGCUGUCGGCUCUGCAGGGUACAGCAUGCUUUAUGUACUUCAGCUGCUAAAGAAAAUGGGGCGACAGCGAGAUCUGAAAAGGUCUAACACGGAUGAGAAGAUUAUUAAAUAAAAAUGUCCCCCAAGGUGGCUUAUAUCUGUGCAUCAUUUCGUGUGUGGAGGAGUUAUUCGAUUUCAUCUUGUGCCGGCAGUAGGAAUGUGCCAGGUUUUCGUGAUUAUGAAAGGGUGAUAGCAUCGUUUUAAGUAACUCCCCUUCCCGAGGUGUAUAAUGCGCUUUUCGUGAUGUGGAGAGGGUUUGUUUGUGUUGGCAGGGGUUUGGGUUUUAGUUCACGCCUUGUUGAGAUUCAUUUCGGUAUCUUUAGUUUUCAUUUUUCUUAUCCACAACUCGAAAUCUCUCCAGUCAUUGUCUUCCCCGAAGAAAUUCAUCAGGCUUUUGCAGCCAUUCAGGAUAUGAUCUGGCUGGUGCCAGGGGCGAGCUGGAAGAUUUUCUCUUUGCUGCGGGCUUUAAUCAUUAUGCUUAAUUUGAGAGAUUGAGGCUCAGUCAUUAUGCCCGCUCCCCGCGCGCUGUGCAGAACCUGAGGACGGCGGGCGGCUUCCACGGCGCCGCGUCGCCCUCUGGCGGCGGUGCGCGGCGGUGCGCGGCGGUGCGCGGCGCUGGCCGCCCGGCGUUAUCGCUCCGCAGCGCUGAUCUCCAUCUCCGCCGCGCUUAUUGCAGCCCGAGCUGCUGAUAAGGAUCCUGUGCUCCCGCGCCCGCGAUACGGUGUCAUUUUCCCCGGCACAGUGCUUUCCAUAUGAAAGUAGCACCUGCGCCCGUGGCUCGAGGCGCCGACCCCCCUCCCCGCCGCUUUUUCAUUUCCUUUGGCUGCCUGGUGAAAAUAAUGCGGUCGGUUCCGCAGCCGCCCGGGCCGCGGGGAGCCGCGGCGCGCUGCGCCCGCUCCGCUCCGCUCGGCCGCCGGCUGGUGGCCCCGGCCGGGUCUCCAGGCCGCGCCCCGCGCUCCCCGGCGGCCCGGGAGCCCGACCCGCUGUUCACGCUGUCGGAUGGUGCUGGUGUCCUGGGCCGCUCGAGCGGUACCGGCUGGACACUAGGUCCGCGGCCGUCGUUUCCCAGCCUCUGUGGUGCGAAGCUGCAUCUGCUUCUUUUUAGUUUGGUUUGUGCGCGUUGAUUUUUGCCUCCACGUUUCUUAGCUUAGCCAUUUCUCGCGGCCUUCUGCUGUUUGCAUUUUACUGACCGCGCUGGCGAGGUCUUGGUGCUGUUCGUUUCCCAGCCUGGCUGUUUUUAUGCACAAGAUUAAAUGAGCGUGAAGAAAAAUUAGUGAGGUGUUCCUUUGGACCAAAAGAAGUUUUUUUGUUGUUUGUUUUUUGUUUUUGUUUGUUGUUUUGUUUUUUUGCUUUUUGUUAUUUUGGUUUUGUUUUAAUUUCACACAGCUGAAGCUGAUUUUGGACCCCCGUAGCCCCUGUGGCGCCUGUGAUUACCUAAUGCACGUUGCCCUGAAGUUGUAUGCCGAGAGGUUUCUGAAGUUGGUGGCUCUCCUUCCAACGAGGGAGGAAACACGGCCUUUUCUGUUUGGGAGUAUUAAAAGCAUUUGUAUGCAAUGAAUCAAAAUGCAUUCUGCUGUCACGUAUAACUAAUUAGAACAAAUAAAAAAAUAAAUAAAAAGCAAUGCCAUUAAAAAUCAUCAAUUAAAAAAAAGCAGGAGUGUUUAUCUGCCAUUUUAACAUCUGUAUUUUUCAUGGGGUGAAUUUGUCAGUUUACCUAUAAAACCAGCUUUUAAAUUUUGAAAUUAGGAACUGUGUUAUAUAUACUUUUAUCAAUUUUUGGAGUAGCUUUUUUAAAAAUUAUGUGCCUCAGUGAUAGAAUUUGUGGAUAGAUCACUUUAUAUGUGAAACCCUUUAAAUAAUAGCUGCUGCUUUUUAUUUUUCUUCUUUUUCUUUUUCUUUCUUUUCUUUCUUUUUUUUUUUAACACUCUGGCAUGGUUUUGAGAGGUGCUCAGUGUGCAGACUGCAGUAUAGGAAAGCCGGUCCUGCUUCUCAUGGGCUUCGUACCAGCUGAAUACCGACUGAGAAAUCUCAUUUGAAAAUACUGAUUUUCUGAUGGCUCUAAAAUCUUAUGAAAAGUGACAUGUUCUAAGAGGUAACAAUGUAACUACAUUGUUAUGAUGUAGUUAUGAUGCAAGAAGAAAUGUUCUAAAAUUUAGACCCCCAAGCUUGCUAAUGCAUUUUUCAAAUGCCAUUCUCCUCUUCAUUUUUAAUGAAGGGUUUUUUAUAUGUGUGUCUAUAUGUUUAUUGCCAUAUAUUUAAACAUUUUUUUUUCUGUGUUCUAAUGAUUACUGUGACAAGACUGACUUUUUCUCUUGUGAAUCCGUGAGAAAGGUGGGAGGGUGACAGACGUCUGGUUUCUGUUUCAUGGUCAGAGACGGCACAAGGGCAGCAUUUCUCAUGAGCUCCUCCGUGUUUUCGCAGGCCGUGGUGAUUCUGCAUGCACUCUGGCCGCACAGUUCAGGGGCCUGGGGUUAGUCCCCCACCCCUGGGAGCUGGUGGGGGCUCCUGCACUGCUCUCAAUGGGUGGGGUAGGUGAGGCCCGGGGAGAUCCACCCCUGUACUGCUCUACAACCUGAUGACAUCCUUUCAGCACAGAACCCCAGCCCCCGAGCCCUAGUUGGGAGCUCCAGGACAUUCUGCCUGGACCCUUAUCCUGCAGUGACGGGAAGCACCAACCCAGGGUCACCUUCCAGUGAGCUCACCCACCUGUGGAUGGCCAGAGUCCCUACUGUGUGCCAGACAUCCUGUGGCUGCAGCAGGGAACAAGCUCUGACUCUCCCACUCUCUUCGUCUGGCCAGGUGAGGGCCAUGCCCACCACUGCACCUUACUGUAGCCAGUGGCUUUGGAAGGAGAGGGGGUGAAAGGCAGAGCAAGAGGUUAGAACAGAGCCUGUUUCACCUCUUCAGAUACUUGAAGUUCAUGUCAGUCUGUCAGGCUCCUAGGCCACGUGCUCUGCUGAGUAUUGGAAAUGGGGGCAUGUGUUUGGCUGGGGACAAUGGCAGUGAUGAGGGUUUAUUGCCAUUUAUUGAAUACUUCUUUAGUGCAAAGCAUCUCAUCACAUCAGAUUCUCUAAUAGAGCUACUGUGUACUGAGCAUGCUAGAGUCAAUUUGCCUUGGGACUCUUGUUUUAGAUAAUACAUUUCAAGCCCAGAGAGGUUAAGUAACUUACUCAAGAUCACACAGGAAGUGUAAACUCAUGAUUUUUGUUUUCUGCUGGUGUUAUUUUAAGCAUUGUAACUUUACUUCAUGUACCUUUUCAAGCAUAUACAAUGGUGUAAUUCAUCUCCUUGAGCCCAUUACCCAGCUGCACUGAUAGUACAGUGACGCACACCAUGGUUGGACCCUACCUGACCCCAGACCUCAAGUCUCCUUUCCUCCCUCAUAAUCAUCCCCAAUCAAAGGACUCAUGAACGCCCCCUGUAGGGCUGGAAGGGAAUUGUGGGGUACUGGGCUAUUUGCUUUGAAAAAUGCCAACUCCCAAACUGCAGAAGCAUAAAUAAUUUUGCUUUUGCUUUUUAAUUCUCUAUCUGGAUUUAGAAAAUGAGUGAGAAACAAAAGGACAUCACACCAACCAGUUUUGUUCAAGAAAAAUCAAUGAGAUUUGUUGUUGUUCUAACUAAUUAAUUAUUCAGGUUUUAGAGCACCCACAAAAGCACAACCCAAAAGGCUCACUAUAAGGUCACUUGCUACCUACAUUGCCUUUGGUAAGUGGCAGGAGGCAGUGGGUACCCUGCAGCCAGUUGUCCCUCUGGGAGUCUUGAGAGGACUGUUCAGCACAGCUCUUGGGAAGUGUCACUAGGGAGUUGGGAGGGUUACUUGGAGCAAGACCAUCUGGUUGAAGCCCAGGUCUACAACUUUGCGCCAGUGGCCUGGGGCAGAGCAGCCUCACUGUGUCCCACAUGCCUGCUGCUGAAGGGCUCAGAGGGCUAGCGCUGCUCAGCUGGGCGGGACAGUGCCUGGCACCUGUCUGCUAGCUGUGGCUCCAGUGCCACCCACCAGGGUCCAGAUGCCCUGCAGCAGGAAGAUCUCAGGGCCUACCUGGCGUGUUCCCACCCAGCUGUCAUGAGACCUCCAGAUGUCACCACCAGAUUGGACCAGAAUUCUCUUACUCUAAUACUAGCCUAAUUUUGCUCUCCUAGGGGAGUCCUGAGGAUUAAAUGAGGGGAUAUACAUACAGCUGGCCGGGGAAGGAGUGCGCAGGAGCUGGAGACGCUGGAGGAGCCUGCUGCGCAGAGAGCCACACCCUGCAUCAGAGCCUGUGCCCUGGUGGAUAGCAGAGGUGGGGUUCGAACCCUUCGUGGCCAGCUACAUGCAGUGCGGCAGCAGCCUGCUCCAUGCUUUGUGCAAAGGACCGCACGGUUGAGGACAGUGAGGCUUGGAAAAGUUAAGCCAUAAACCCAGGCCAUGUCGCUGGUCAGUGGCUGAAUGAGGCUGAAAUAUUAAUGGUAUUUCUAACCACAUUUAGUGCUGGUAUUUUGAAGCUCACACGCGCACACACGUAUACCUUAAACCUACAGAUUCUGAAUUCUUUGGCACUACACGAGUUUGUGUUUUUAGAAGACAGUUGGACAAGUCGCUCCUUUGGCUUCCCUGCUUGUUGCCACAGGCAGUGGUGCAGGAGGACCAGCUUGCAGAGCCCCUGCAUCCCAGCCUCGGGGCCUCGCUUAGGAUCCCUCACUGCUGGCCAGAGCUCCGCGGUGGACACUGCUGGACAAGGGUGCGCCCUGCGCUUUUCCAAACUUACACACUUCAAUAAACCAUCAGUUGUUAAAGGGGGAAACUGGACUUCCUCUAGGAAAUGAUGGCAAGUCGUGUGACAACACAGUUCCGAAGUAGUAGGUGAAUUAAUAGACCAACUUUUGUGCCUAACAGUUAUUAUUUAUAAAACAGCUAAGGAAAUAAAUGCAAUUAGUCUUUAUGUUUGAUGAACAUAUGCUAAAGUACAAAAUAUCACGUGGUCUUCUAGAAAGGAGGGACACUUGUAAAUUUUGAGGCAUGAUGUAAAAGUUAGUGACUUAUGCUAUGACUUCUGUUCCACUGCAGCGGAGGUGUGUGUUUACUAAGAAGACACUCCUACGCCAGCCUGGUUGGUUAUUUUAAACCUGAGCAAGACUAAGUUAAUAAAAUCUGUGUGUUCUUUGAAUGGUUUAUUUCUACACCCCAAUAUAGGGAGAGGUUAUAUCCUUCCCUCUACCUGUACCUCUGUCCCACCCACGAGCAACUGCCCUCCUCCUGUCUUCCACCUGGUGCCAGUUCUUUUGUAUUUCAGGGAAAACAAGUAAUAUUAUUUUUUUUUACUUACUAUAAUUUUUUAAAUAUGCAAAACUAUUGGGAGUCCAUCUUUAAAAGUUAGAUACUUACUAAUGAAGGCAUUUUGUCAUUUGAAAGGACGUCCGUAUGACUAUUCUAUUAAAAUGACUUGUUAUCCUGAUGUGGUUUAACAACAGCAGCAGCAACUAGAGGAUGUGUUAAGACACAGUUCAUGGCACAUGUGAUACGAACUUGUGAUUUCUCUCCUCAGGGUAUUUUAGAAAUGCAAGUAACCCUCAUCUUGAAGUUGCUGGAGAGACCAUCUUGGCUUUGCAAUCUGACCAGGACCAAGAUGUUUCCUUUUUGCCACCCUAGAACCAAGCGACAGAGUCUUCUGGACCCUACUGCACUAGGAAAACAGGAUGGACUCCUCUGGGAAGGUUGUUUCAUGCCUGGCACCUUUGGCUUGUGACCUGAAGGGGAACUGAUUGUAUUUUAUCUGCUGAAGAAGAAAAGAUUUCUGAAACUUCCACAUUGUGCACCCAAAUGACAGACCCCUUUCCUGUCUGAGGCUCCCAGACUGAAUCUUGGUGGGGACUUAAGUGCAGAUGGCUAGGCCUGUGCCACAUUCCCCAGCCCCACAGGCCUGACCCAGGACACCUUGUGGACAGGGUGCAGGCCUGCCAGCAACUUGUUUUGUUCAAGACAGACUAUAUUCGAGUCUCCCCUCCCGAUCGCUUAUUAGAAGCUCUGAAAUCUUUACUGGACUUGCAUAUUUGUUUCCCUUUUGCUUUUAUAUAAAAUAUAGUUUAUGGUGCUAUAUUUAUUUUUAACUGAGAUACUGUACAUAUGUAAAUAUCUUUUUUUAUUUUUAGAUAAGAUCUCACUAAGUUGCUCAAGCUGGCCUUGAACUUGGGAUCCAUCUACCUCAGCCUCCCAAGCAGCUGGGAUUACAGGCGUGCACCGCCAUGCCCAGCUUGUAAAUAGCUCUUGACAGGAAGAAAAUAUAUGAAUGUAAUAUUAGCUUCCUAUCAGUGAACUGAACAAAUAUAUCAUUGAAAUUUAUGCUGCAAUCCGAGUUGCUGCAAACAUAGCCCAGUUUGUUUACUUUUGAAAAAUGUGACAAAGCUACUAAGAAUGAUUUAUGGCAGGCUUUCUACUACUGUGGUUGGGACUUCUUAAGCACUCACCCUCUGCUUCUUUCCGGAACUCUCCUCACAAAGAUGGCGUUGGUGUAAAGCUGAAGGAUUUUUCAUUUUCGUACAGAUAUAUUGUCGAUGUUUAAGAACUUGAGAGGGAAGUAGAUAACUGAGAUGCAUGGAUAUCAACUUUCAUGCUUUAGAAUACUAAAAGAUAGGAAACCAUAGUUCUGAUCAGAACUUGCCCACAAAUACCAGUGAUUCUGGGGGGUUAAAUCAUGUACUCUUCAAAUUGAUGUAAGUACACCGAACUUAGAUUUCAUGCUUUUAAAAUUUAGACUCAAAUGCUUUAGAAUUUAACAGUUUUUUCAUUAGUUAAUAAUUCAAGAUUCUGUAAACAUUUGAUUAAAUUCUGCAUUCAUAUGUCGUUGUUCUUGUUUUUCUGUUUAUCUUCUCAACAAUGGGCCCAGAGAAGAAGGAAGAGUAGCCCACAGGGGAUUUAGGAACCAGCUGCCAAGGGCCCUCUUUUCCUCUCUGAUUUUUUUUUUUUUUU